UACGUAGGGGGCAAGCGUUGUCCGGAUUUAUUGGGCGUAAAGAGCGUGUAGGCGGCUUUACAGGUCCGUUGUGAAAACUCGAGGCUCAACCUCGAGACGCCGGUGGAAACCGUAAGGCUAGAGUCCGGAAGAGGAGAGUGGAAUUCCAGGUGUAGCGGUGAAAUGCGUAGAUAUCUGGAGGAACACCGGUGGCGAAGGCGGCAUUCUGGACUGCAACUGACACUGAAGAACGAAAGCCAGGGGAGCAAACGGG
rnacentral:rRNA from 1 species